rnacentral:rRNA from 1 species
UACGAAGGGUGCUAGCGUUGCUCGGAAUCACUGGGCGUAAAGGGUGCGUAGGCGGCUUCUUAAGUCAGGGGUGAAAUCCUGGAGCUCAACUCCAGAACUGCCUUUGAUACUGAGGAGCUUGAGUCCGGGAGAGGUGAGUGGAACUGCGAGUGUAGAGGUGAAAUUCGUAGAUAUUCGCAAGAACACCAGUGGCGAAGGCGGCUCACUGGCCCGGUACUGACGCUGAGGUGCGAAAGCGUGGGGAGCAAACAGG